GAUGAACGCUGGCGGCGUGCCUAACACAUGCAAGUCGAGCGGAAGGACGAUAAGUUUGUUUCUUUGAUGUUAGCGGCGGACGGGUGAGUAACGUGUGGAUCAUCUACUUAUCUGUCGGGGAUAAUCACGGGAAAACGUAGAUAAUAACGGAGAAUAUCUUGAACCGUAUGGUUCAAAAGUGAAUGACGGCUUUGGUGUCUGUUAUAGCUGGUUCCGCGCUGCAUUAGCGAGUUGGUAAGGUAACAGCUUACCAAGGCUACGAUGCAUAGCCGAGCUGAGGGGGUGGUCGGCCACACUGGAACGUGAACACGGUCCUGGCUCCUGCGGGAAGGAGCAGUAGGGAAUCUUCGGCAAUGGGGGGGAACCUUGCGGAACAGCGCCGCGUGAGUGGUAGAAGUCUUGCGAUCGGGAAACUCUGUUUUUAGGGAAAAACAGAUGUGUAAGUAACUGUACACUGCUUGACGGUACCUGAUCAAAAAGCCACGGCUAACUACGUG
rnacentral:rRNA from 1 species